rnacentral:misc_RNA from 1 species
AACGCACGAGACCUGCGGACCUGCGGAGGGAUCAUUAACGAGUUCGAAAGUCGGUCGACCGUGCUGGCGGAGACGCACGUGCACGUCGGUCGCGAACCAUCCACACACCCGUGAACGUAUGGCCGGGAGUCUCGCACUCCCGGCACAACUUUUACGCCCUUUCAGUAAAGGAAUGUCUUACGUGUAACGUAUCUUAUACAACUUUCAACAACGGAUCUCU